rnacentral:rRNA from 1 species
AGCGAACGCUGGCGGCAGGCUUAAUACAUGCAAGUCGAGCGCCUGUUAGCAAUACAGGAGCGGCAGACGGGAGAGUAACACGUGGGAACGUGCCCUUUGGUUCGGAACAACACAGGGAAACUUGUGCUAAUACCGGAUAAGCCCUUACGGGGAAAGAUUUAUCGCCAAAGGAUCGGCCCGCGUCUGAUUAGCUAGUUGGUGGGGUAAUGGCCCACCAAGGCGACGAUCAGUAGCUGGUCUGAGAGGAUGAUCAGCCUCAUUGGGACUGAGACACGGCCCAAACUCCUACGGGAGGCAGCAGUAGGGAAUAUUGGACAAUGGGGGCAACCCUGAUCCAGCCAUGCCGCGUGAGUGAUGAAGGCCUUAGGGUUGUAAAGCUCUUUCGGCGGGGAAGAUAAUGACGGUACCCGCAUAAGAAGCCCCGGCUAACUUCGUGCCAGCAGCCGCGGUAAUACGAAGGGGGCUAGCGUUGCUCGGAAU